CCAGCUUCAGUGAGCACUGACGCUCGGAGCUGUGGAGAGAGAUUCUGUUUGCCGUGGACCAUGUGUGACGCCCUGUUUUUGUUCUAUUAAAAAAAAGGAUUUAUGCAGAUCCCAAAUACAGAUCAGCGGGUAGCAGAAGUACCCGCCUUGUCCCGUGUGCUCGAGCUCUGUGUCUCGACCUCCCUCCGGACUUUGGACUGCCUCCCUCGAUCCUCGACCCCCGCCGGGACACGGACCUUGUCGCUUCUCUCCUGCCCUCGACCACCUGCUUGCUUACGGACUCCCUCUUCGCCUCGCCCUCUCGGACUGACGAAAGAAUCAUCCAUCACGCACGUACAACACCGUCUGGUAUUAUUGACAUGGUUAAUAUCCCACAUAGUCCUGCAACAAACACACAGAGUAGCGUACACCUCCCACUCACUCAUCAAAGGUUACAAUAAACCUGGUAACCUGUUGUGGUGUCGUCUCCUUCCACCCCUCGCGUACAUAACAAUUCUCUUCAAAUUCUGCAAGGAAUGAUCGAGAUUCGGGAUGAGGAUGCGACCAAAACACAAACACACAAUAUGAAAUUGCCUCCAGUCUUCCGGUGGCGUCAGCAUACAACUGUCUUAGCAAAGUAAAGUCGUUAGUUUAAAAUAAGUCAACAAAAGCAAAAACUACUAAUGGUUUUCACUCAAAUACUUUUUGCCUCU